rnacentral:rRNA from 1 species
UACAGAGGGGGCAAGCGUUAUCCGGAAUUAUUGGGCGUAAAGGGCGCGUAGGCGGCUUUGCAAGUGACGGGUGAAAUCCCUCGGCUUAACCGAGGAACUGCCUGUCAGACUGCAUGGCUUGAGACCGGGAGAGGUGAGUGGAAUUCCCAGUGUAGCGGUGAAAUGCGUAGAUAUUGGGAGGAACACCAGUGGCGAAGGCGGCUCACUGGACCGGUACUGACGCUGAGGCGCGAAAGCGUGGGGAGCAAACAGG